CCUACGGGUGGCUGCAGUGGGGAAUCUUGCGCAAUGGGCGAAAGCCUGACGCAGCGACGCCGCGUGAGUGAUGAAGGCCUUCGGGUUGUAAAGCUCUGUGGAGGGGGACGAAUAAGUCGGAGCGAACAGCUCCGAUGAUGACGGUACCCCUUUAGCAAGCACCGGCUAACUCUGUGCCAGCAGCCGCGGUAAGACAGAGGGUGCAAACGUUGUUCGGAAUUACUGGGCGUAAAGCGCGUGUAGGUGGCUCUGACAAGUGAGGUGUGAAAGCCCUG
rnacentral:rRNA from 1 species